rnacentral:lncRNA from 1 species
GUUUUCCUAUUUAAUCCUAUUUAUUACAAAAUGACAAACGUUAACAGUAAAUAUAAACUUCAAUGAACAAUUUCAAUAAUCCUAACUUUAAAAGAUAAACUAGAAAUAAAGCUUUAAAGAGUCCGCUAAAAUGAAAUAUUCCUUUUAAACUUUGAAAACGCUAACUUUACUAUUUUCCUUUACAAUUUAACCUUUAAAUAAAAUGAAGUUUCUAAGAAAAAUUAACCAUUUUGACUAAAAUAAAUAACGAGCAAAUAAAAAUACCAACUGUAAGAACCAAAAGUUUAAGCAGAACUGACGACCAAGCGUCGAAAUUACGUCAAUGUUGGAUUGUUGGAAAGUUGGAAAGUUGGAUUGUUGGAUCGCGCGCUUGCCGUCCAACUAAAUAUUUGAAUUCUUAAAUAAAUUACAAAAAUCACAAUAAUAUACAAUUUUAGUAACCUUUAUAUAAUAAACAAAGUUUGCAUGGUACUAAACAAGUUUCUAUAGUAACUAAAAAUACAACAAUAUAUACAGCGCCACCGGAAGUCACAAUACGUAAACAACAUUGCGAAAAGUUAUGUGUGUCACCGGCGGACCAAAAUGAUAAAUAUCAAGGAUAGUGAGCAUUAACAUCUACAAAACAUUGAAGACGUUGACUACAAAUACUAAAAGGAAUUACAAGAAGUAUGUGAAAACAGUUGCCAACACGUAAAAAUAGUGUUUUUAUUGAACAAUCGUCCCAAGUGACACAUGGAUUCUACUGCGCAUGUCAAUACAUUUCAUUCAUAAAAUUCAAGCACAGGUGCGUGGAAUUUACUACGAUUUACUACGAUUUACUACGAUCUACUACAGUUGCUACAAUUGGAUCUUCACAAAAAUACAAGACAUACAGUUGGAUUAUUCAGUGGAUUAUUACUAUGAACUGGUAAAUUAUUACAUGAACUUCAACUGGUUUAUCAAAUAUAUGCAAAUGACAGUAAUUCAAUAUUUCUAC